CCUACGGGAGGCUGCAGUGGGGAAUAUUGCGCAAUGGGGGAAACCCUGACGCAGCAACGCCGCGUGAGUGAGGAAGUAUCUCGGUAUGUAAAGCUCUAUCAGCGGGGAAGAAAGAGGACGGUACCCGCCUAAGAAGCCCCGGCUAACUACGUGCCAGCAGCCGCGGUAAUACGUAGGGGGCAAGCGUUAUCCGGAUUUACUGGGUGUAAAGGGAGCGUAGACGGAAAGGCAAGUCAGAAGUGAAAGCCCAAGGCUCAACCAUGGGACUGCUUUUGAAACUGUCAAACUAGAGUACGGGAGAGGUAAGAGGAAUUCCUAGUGUAGCGGUGAAAGGCGUAGAUAUUAGGAGGAACACCAGUGGCGAAGGCGUCUUACUGGACCGAAACUGACGUUGAGGCUCGAAAGCGUGGGGAGCAAACAGGAUUAGAUACCCGUGUAGUC
rnacentral:rRNA from 1 species